rnacentral:tRNA from 1 species
CCCUGGGUAGUAAAAAAGGUUAACGCUCUCAGCUGCUAACUGAAAAACUGAUGGUUUGAGUCCACCCAGGGA